rnacentral:sRNA from 1 species
GCCUGGUGUAGUGGUGCACACCUGUCAUCCCAGCAGCUCAGGAGGCUGAGGCAGGAGGAUCUCGAGUUCAAAGCCAGCCUCAGCAAAAGUGAGGCGCUAAGCAACUCAGUGAGAUCCUGUCUCUA